rnacentral:rRNA from 1 species
UGAUGCAGCAACGCCGCGUGAGUGAUGAAGGUUUUCGGGUCGUAAAGCUCUGUCUUCAAGGGAGAUAAUGACGGUACUUGAGGAGGAAGCCCCGGCUAACUACGUGCCAGCAGCCGCGGUAAUACGUAGGGGGCUAGCGUUAUCCGGAAUUACUGGGCGUAAAGGGUGCGUAGGCGGUCUUUCAAGCCAGAAGUGAAAGGCUACGGCUCAACCGUAGUAAGCUUUUGGAACUGUAGGACUUGAGUGCAGGAAAAGAAAGUGGAAUUCCUAAUGUAACGGUGAAAUGCGUAAAUAUUAAGAAGAACACCAGUAGCGAAGGCGGCUCUCUGGACUGUAACUGACGCUUAAGCACGAAAGCGUGGGGAGCAAACAGGAUUAAAAACCCCGGUAG